CCGGAGCAGGCGGGGCGAGGGUGUGGAUUGGCUCCGGAGCGGGGGGAGUGUGCGCCUUGUGCACUUCUGCGUUUGUGUGAUCAAGCCUUAAGGAAACAGACUGGCCCUGGAGCUGGUGGCAGGCUCGUGCCCUUGACCACCAGGGCCUACCUCUGAGUACUCACUGCCUCAGAGCCUCCGGUCGGUCUUAGGGGUUGGGAUAGGUGAAGAGGCAGCCACGGGAGGUCCUGUGUGAACGUGCAGGGGUGCCUGUGAAGGUGCCUACAGCUGCCUGAUCAGGGUGUUGGCCUUGGCCACGUCAGUGUCACAGAGCUUCUUCACAGCCUGCUUAAUGUGAUGCUUAUUGGCCUUGACCUCCACGAUGAACAGUGUGCUGUUGUCUGUCUUCUUCACGGCUGACCCUGUGGUGGGGGAAACUGGAUGAUGGCGGUGUGGUCAAGCUUGGUUCUCCUGGGCGCUCCUCCGAGAAUAUCUGGGCUGCCUCCUGAGCCACAGUGUUUUGGGCCAGUGGAAGGUGGCUCAGACAGUAAAGAGUCUACCUGAAAUGAAGUAAACUCAGGUUCAACUCCUGGGUAAGGAAGAUACCCUGAAGAAUGGCAUGGCAACCCACUCCAGUAUUCUAGCCUGGAGAAUUCCAUAGCAUGGGGUUACAAAGAGUCGGGCACGACUAAGUGACACACUCACUUUCAUGUGAGAUCUUAGUGCCCCGGCCCCAGGAUAUUGAACCAGAGCCCCUUGCAUUGGAAGCGUGGAGUCUUAACGACUGCACUGCCAUGGAAGUCCUUAAUUUUCUUUUUUUGAUGUGAGGGGUUUUUAAUUUUUAUGUAGUUCAGUCUGCCUUUUACGCUUUUUGCCUUGGGAUCAUGCCUGGAAAACCCUUGCUCGUUUAUGGUUUUUACAGCAGUAUUUCACUGAGUCAAAGUUUUCACAUUUUAAAUCUCUGAAAUUGGGAUGUGUUUAUAAUCACCAGUGCUCAGGUGGCAGUCAUUGCCUGCCUGCCCUACAUCAAAAUGUGCAGAAAGUGACCUAAUAGUGGAGCAGACUUAAAAUGCUGCAUCACCACCUGUCUCCUUUUCUCUAGAGUUCUAGCCUGUAGAUGGUGGGUGGAAAUGACAUAGGGGCUUUCCUGCUUGGCCCAUGAAACCUUCCAUACCACCCUCUCCUCUCUCUCUCUCAGCUGUUGGAAGAUCUAGCAGUGGUUCUCAGUGAUGGCAGAACCGGAGGCAGAGGAGUUUAGGUCCAUGAAAAGCCUAAUGGGAGAUGCUUGCUGACCAGGGGUCCUCAUUGUUAUUUGUGUGAAUAAGAAAUAAACUGUUAUUGUGUUAAGCUCUUGAGAUUUGGGAUUUUGUUUGUUAUAGCUGCUAACACUGCUGACACCCAACUGAUAUCCUUGUCUUAAUUCUGACUCAAAUGUGAAUCCCUCUAGAUUAGAGUUGAGUGUUUUAUCAUUGAGUAUAAUGUUG
ensembl:lncRNA